rnacentral:rRNA from 1 species
UACGUAGGGUGCGAGCGUUGUCCGGAAUUAUUGGGCGUAAAGAGCUCGUAGGCGGUGUGUCACGUCGGCCGUGAAAACCUGGGGCUUAACUCUGGGCGUGCGGUCGAUACGGGCAUCACUAGAGUUCGGCAGGGGAGACUGGAAUUCCUGGUGUAGCGGUGAAAAUGCGCAGAUAUCAGGGAGGAAACACCCGGGUGGGCGAAAGGCGGGGUCUCUGGGGCCCGAUACUGACGCUGAGGAGCGAAAGCAUGGGGUAGCGAACAGG